GGUUGAUCCUGCCAGUAGUCAUAUGCUUGUCUCAAAGAUUAAGCCAUGCAUGUCUAAGUACAAACCAUACUAAGGUGAAACCGCGAAUGGCUCAUUAAAUCAGUUACGGUUCAUUGGAUGUUGACCGUUUACAUGGAUAACUGUGGUAAUUCUAGAGCUAAUACAUGCCCAAAGGUCUCGCUCGCAAGGGUGGGACGCAUUUAUUAGACCAAGACCAAGGAGGGGCAACCCUCUGCCGGUGGUGACUCUGAAUAACUACAGCCGAUCGCAUGGCCUCGUGCCGGCGACAUAU
rnacentral:rRNA from 1 species